rnacentral:rRNA from 1 species
UACGAAGGGUGCUAGCGUUGUUCGGAAUCACUGGGCGUAAAGCGCGCGUAGGCGGCUUAACAAGUCAGAGGUGAAAUGCCAGGGCUCAACCCGGGAACUGCCUUUGAAACUGUUAAGCUUGAGACUCGGAGGGGAUAGCGGAAUACCUAAUGUAGCGGUGAAAUGCGUAGAUAUUAGGUGGAACACCGGUGGCGAAGGCGGCUAUCUGGACGAGUACUGACGCUGAGGCGCGAAAGCGUGGGGAUCAAACAGG